rnacentral:piRNA from 1 species
UGAAGCAGUAAGGAGAGGCUCCAUGCUGAGU